UACGGAGGGGGCUAGCGUUGUUCGGAAUUACUGGGCGUAAAGCGCACGUAGGCGGCCUGCUAAGUCGAACGUGAAAUCCCUGGGCUCAACCCGGGAACUGCGUCCGAGACUGAAAGGCUUGAAUCCGGGAGAGGGAUGUGGAAUUCCAGGUGUAGCGGUGAAAUGCGUAGAUAUCUGGAGGAACAUCGGUGGCGAAGGCGGCAUCCUGGACCGGUAUUGACGCUGAGGCGCGAAAGCCAGGGGAGCAAAGCGGG
rnacentral:rRNA from 1 species